AGAGAGGAAAAAGAAGAAGAAGAAGAAGAAGAAGAAGAAGAAGAAGAAGUUCUUCUUCUUCUUCUUCUUCUUCUUCUUCUUCUUCUUCUUCUUCUUUUCCU
rnacentral:miRNA from 1 species